UGCGGAGGGAUCAUUACCGAGUUUACAACUCCCAAACCCAAUGUGAACGUUACCAAACUGUUGCCUCGGCGGGGUCACGCCCCGGGUGCGUCGCAGCCCCGGAACCAGGCGCCCGCCGGAGGAACCAACCAAACUCUUUCUGUAGUCCCCUCGCGGACGUAUUUCUUACAGCUCUGAGCAAAAAUUCAAAAUGAAUCAAAACUUUCAACAACGGAUCUCUUGGUUCUGGCAUCGAUGAAGAACGCAGCGAAAUGCGAUAAGUAAUGUGAAUUGCAGAAUUCAGUGAAUCAUCGAAUCUUUGAACGCACAUUGCGCCCGCCAGUAUUCUGGCGGGCAUGCCUGUCCGAGCGUCAUUUCAACCCUCGAACCCCUCCGGGGGAUCGGCGUUGGGGAUCGGGACCCCUCACACGGGUGCCGGCCCCGAAAUACAGUGGCGGUCUCGCCGCAGCCUCUCCUGCGCAGUAGUUUGCACAACUCGCACCGGGAGCGCGGCGCGUCCACGUCCGUAAAACACCCAACUUUCUGAAAUGUUGACCUCGGAUCAGGUAGGAAUACCCGCUGAACUUAAGCAUAUCAAUAAGCGGAGGA
rnacentral:rRNA from 1 species